rnacentral:rRNA from 1 species
AUUGAACGCUGGCGGCAGGCCUAACACAUGCAAGUCGAGCGGCAGCGGGAAAGUAGCUUGCUACUUUUGCCGGCGAGCGGCGGACGGGUGAGUAAUGCCUGGGAAAUUGCCCAGUCGAGGGGGAUAACAGUUGGAAACGACUGCUAAUACCGCAUACGCCCUACGGGGGAAAGCAGGGGACCUUCGGGCCUUGCGCGAUUGGAUAUGCCCAGGUGGGAUUAGCUAGUUGGUGAGGUAAUGGCUCACCAAGGCGACGAUCCCUAGCUGGUCUGGGAGGAUGGGCAGGCACACUGGAACUGAGACACGGUGCAGACUCCUACGGGGGGCAGCAGUGGGGAAUAUUGCACAAUGGGGGAAACCCUGAUGCAGCCAUGCCGCGUGUGUGAAGAAGGCCUUCGGGUUGUAAAGCACUUUCAGCGAGGAGGAAAGGUUGAUGCCUAAUACGUAUCAACUGUGACGUUACUCGCAGAAGAAGCACCGGCUAACUCCGUGCCAGCCGCCGCCGUAACAC